UACGUAGGGCGCAAGCGUUAUCCGGAAUCACUGGGCGUAAAGCGUCUGCAGGUGGUUUCCUAAGUCCACUGUUAAACCUUGAGGCUCAACCUCAAAUCUGCAUUGGAAACUAGGAGACUUGAGUAUAGUAGGGGUAGAGGGAAUUUCCAGUGGAGCGGUGAAAUGCGUAGAUAUUGGAAAGAACACCGAUGGCGAAGGCACUCUACUGGGCUAUUACUGACACUCAGAGACGAAAGCUAGGGGAGCAAAUGGG
rnacentral:rRNA from 1 species